AGGUUUGAGGGAGAAAUCCCUUUGAAAAAGCAUCUUCUCCCUUUGCUGCCGGAUCAUUAAAUGUGAUUAGGAGGAUCCUUGGGUCUUUUAAGGACAAGGGCUGCAACCAGGGAUGAUGGAACUGAGACCUGGAGGGAUCAGGGUUCCUGACUACUCUGUGGAGCCACCUUAUCAAUUCUGGACUGCCUAGAUUUGAAAUUCUUUUUGUGUGAUGAAGGAAUAAGAGACAUCUAUUUUCUUUAAGCGACUGCUUUUUUGAGAUUUUUAAUUUUUUUCUUAUUUGCAGCUAAUGCUAAUUCUAAUUUAUACAACCAUCUACCCUCCACUUUAUACCACUGAUCCAGGGAUCCAUGAAUGAGUAUGAGGAGGCCUAGAGUCAUAGAGAAGAACAGGCAUCUGCUGCUCUUGUCUGGAAGUCAGUGCUUCGCUUCCUACUCUCUGUCUUGAAUGGCUGUCCUUCCUGAGCCUUUAAAGUGUAGAAUGUUUCCUGAGUUGUUGGGGAAAUUUUGAUUGGUCAGAUGGUUUUCAGGGGACAAGAAAAAGAAUCCUAGGGUCAC
rnacentral:lncRNA from 1 species